rnacentral:rRNA from 1 species
CAGCUAGUUGGUGAGGUAAUGGCUCACCAAGGCUAUGAUCGUUAGCUGGUCUGAGAGGAUGGCCAGCCACACUGGAACUGAGACACGGUCCAGACUCCUACGGGAGGCAGCAGUGGGGAAUCUUGCACAAUGGGCGAAAGCCUGAUGCAGCGACGCCGCGUGGGGGAUGAAGCUUCUCGGAGUGUAAACCCCUUUCGACCGGGACGAAUACCUCGCAAGAGGGGUGACGGUACCGGUAUAAGAAGCCCCGGCUAACUACGUGCCAGCAGCCGCGGUAAGACGUAGGGGGCCAGCGUUGCUCGGAAUUACUGGGUGUAAAGGGUUCGUAGGCGGUGUGGCAAGUCGGGAGUGAAAUCCCUGGGCUUAACCCAGGGGCUGCUUCUGAAACUGCCGUGCUAGAGUGUGGGAGAGGCGCGUGGAAUUGCAGGUGUAGCGGUGAAAUGCGUAGAUAUCUGCAGGAACACCCGUGGCGAAAGCGGCGCGCUGGAUCACUACUGACGCUGAGGAACGAAAGCUAGGGGAGCAAACA